AGAGUUUGAUCCUGGCUCAGGACGAACGCUGGCGGCGUGCCUGACCCAUGCAAGUCGAACGGGGGUGUAGCAAUACACCUUAGUGGCGGACGGGUGAGUAACACGUGAACAAUCUGCCUGCGCAGGGGGAUAACGUCUGGAAACGGACGCUAAUACCGCAUGAGACCACGCUAUGGCAUCAUAGAGAGGUCAAAGGGAGU
rnacentral:rRNA from 1 species